ACGAAUGGAAUAAGAAUUAAAAAUGUGUUUUGUGUUUUUCAAGGAAAUGACGAAGAGGUUUACAGUUUCUUUUUGAUUAUACGUGGAUUGAAGUUUUUCAGUGUUUUCACAGACAUGGAGGAAUUUCUUAAUAACUUGGGAUUAAAUGAUCUGAUUGGCAUUUUUGAAGAAAAUGAUGUAACCUUAGACAUAGCUAAAAGGCUGACUGAUGAAGAAAUGA